AUUGAACGCUGGCGGCAGGCUUAACACAUGCGAGUCGAGCGGGGGAAGGUAGCUUGCUACUGGACCUAGCGGCGGACGGGUGAGUAAUGCUUAGGAAUCUGCCUAUUAGUGGGGGACAACAUCUCGAAAGGGAUGCUAAUACCGCAUACGUCCUACGGGAGAAAGCAGGGGAUCUUCGGACCUUGCGCUAAUAGAUGAGCCUAAGUCGGAGUAGCUAGUUGGUGGGGUAAAGGCCUACCAAGGCGACGAUCUGUAGCGGGUCUGAGAGGAUGAUCCGCCCCACUGGGACUGAGAGACUGCCCAGACUCGUACGGGAGGCAGCAGUGGGGAAUAUUGGACAAUGGGGGGAACCCUGAUCCAGCCAUGCCGCGUGUGUGAAGAAGGCCUUAUGGUUGUAAAGCACUUUAAGCGAGGAGGAGGCUACUUUAGUUAAUACCUAGAGAUAGUGGACGUUACUCGCAGAAUAAGCACCGGCUAACUCUGUGCCAGCCGCCGCAGUAA
rnacentral:rRNA from 1 species